rnacentral:misc_RNA from 1 species
UUCAUGUUUUUUCUCUUUUUUUUUCCCCCUUUUUUUUAAUCCUGGUUAAUUUUAGCUUUUAUAUUAGCUUUAAUUCAGUGAUACUGGAGUCGUCUUAAAGAUUGUAAGAUCUCAAGUUUAAGUCCCAGUCAGAACCAAAUAAAUAAAUAAAUAAUAAUUUUUUAAAAUUGUUUGUAUCCUGUCUUAAAGUACAGACUAGAGAGGCAAACAUAACCAGAAACCAGACCAAGAUGGAGCAAAAUACCCUCCUAUCAACUAUGUUAUACUCUAAAUUUUCAAAUGGAAAUUAUUUCAUUUUUGAAAAUUUAAAGUAAAAUGGAAAUUGCUGAUAUAUAUGUAUAGUGCAUCAAUUUUGUGUUGAAUUUUUCAUGCCUAGAUCAUAUUAAUUUUAAGACACAAAUAUUUAAAAUUUUUAUAUGCAAAUAAAUAAGUAAAUUUCACUGUAAUAGGCUAAUUUAACAAAUACUAUGUAAACAAAAGAACAGAUAUAACCAUUUUAAACAAAACAAAAGGUGUAUCUAAACCAAUUAAAACUUACACAAGACUUACGCUUCUAAAGGCUAUCUAUGCCUCUGUUUGGCCUUGGGUUUAAAACUUUCAAAAAGGCAUUCUAUUUAGACAUUGUUGCAAAAACAGUUUGAAAUUAAAUUGUUGUUUAGCUGUUUUUGAUAUAACUAGAAUAUGUCAAAUCUAUAAUAAAAACAAAUUUCAUUUCUUACAGUUAACAUAUUCAAAAUGGUGUGUUUCUCAACAAAACAACAGUUAUAACAAUAAUGUUAAACAGAUCCUUAGACUAUUCACUUGAUAUAACAAGAAUAAUAUACCAUCAAGAAGAGGUAGAUCCUCUG